AAGUGCAGUGCCUUAGGGUUCUUGUAUUUGCCUGUGAUCCUAAUCAUCUUUUGUUUGUUUGGGUGAUCAGCUUUUAUUUCUAUCUAUUUCAAAAAAGCCCUCAGCAUUGCCCCCCCCCCACUUACUUAGCCUGAUUUCUAGCUUCUCCCUCAAAAGAUGAGCUAGUGUUUGUAAAAUAUUUGUGUAGUAAUUUAACUCGGUUGCCCUUAAGAUAUACCCUGUUCUGUGCUGGUCAAAGACCAUAAGAAGUCAUCUUAAUGAUUUGUAAGAGUAUUCUUAACACCAUUAUCCUAUUACAAACAAAGUUGUAAUGAUUUCAUUAGCAUAUCUGUAUCUUUAAUAGAAUUUAUAAAAUCACUAGGGUUUGAGGGAUUAAUUUUUCAGGGAUGAUAGAUCCAUUUCACCAUUUAAAAUAUUCUUUGUGAUCAUAAAAUAACAUAUUAAUUGCAGAAAAAUCUAAGUAGAAAAGGUGGAAAAACAAUUUCUUUACUUAGAGGUCCACUAUUUUUUUUCAUUUGCUUUUCUCUAUACAUCUUACUUUAUAUAGUUGAGCUCAUAAUGUAUGUAAACUGUUUUAAUCCAGCUUUUUUCUGUUCACAUUGUUCUAAUCAUUGUCUCUCAUCAUUAAAAGCCUAAAUUCCUGCUUAAAGAUUAUAUAAAAUCAUAAUACAAACAUGCCAUUAUUUUAAUUAUUUAUUAUUAUUAUUAUUAUUGCCAUUAACUACCAUUUUCAUAAUAAUUUCCUAAUGUUGGGUGCUUAAAUUGCUUCCGUUAUUUGGAAAUGUUUGCUGAGUUGAUGAUAGUUCACUGACAUUGGAACCUUCGAGACAAUGUGGCAGGUCAAGUUCUACAAUUACCACAAGCGGGAUCACUGCCAGUGGGGAAGCCCCUUCUCUGUCAUCGAGUACGAAUGCAAGCCCAACGAGACCCGCAGUCUCAUGUGGGUGAACAAGGAGUCCUUCCUCUGAAGCUGGCUCUGUGAUGCUGCUGGACAAUCUCUUGAGAAAUCCACUUUUAGAUAACCCAGCACAAGCCGUCACCGAGGCGCCCCGAUUAUUUUGAAAGUGUCAUUCCCCUCUGAGGCAAUGUCCCUGACAUAAAAGAUCACGAUGUACCCUGCCCGAGAGGCUCCCUCGCUGUGUUUUGUGUUGGUGUUCCUGCCUCCAGUUGUUCUUGAUCAUGCCGUGACCCCUUGUGAAGAGCUCUGUGGAGCCCACGGGCCGUGUCCUGCACUUAACAUCUCUGCUGAGUGACUGUGCUGUUGUGCUUUCAAGUUGAGUGAUUCCCUCUUUGUUUUGGUUAAAUGUUAAAUAAAAAAUAACAAAUUGUGUGGGUUCCACCCCAAGUGUGCUAUGGUAACAGGUUAACAUGGGGUGUUUUCCAGCCCUCAGAACAGGCUUUGUGAAAAUGUGAUGCAAACAGCCAUCAGUGGGACUCAAGUGUUGUGUUUUCUAUAAACAACUGGACUUUUUCAGGGAAGGAUUAAUGACAAGAAAAGGACAAAGAUUUAAGAAGCAGUUAUAAUGUAUUUAAACCCAUGUAUCGUAAGGCAUUGGGCU
rnacentral:lncRNA from 1 species